rnacentral:lncRNA from 13 species
UAAUUUCCUAUGUGUAUCCAAACAUAAUUGAUUUAUUUCUCUAUGUCUACCAAAUGAAAGCAUAUGAUACCCAAUUUUUUUUUACUUAAAAAAAAUUGGCUGGGCAUGGUGGCUCACCCCAUAAUCCCAACAUUUUGGGAGGCUGAGGCAAGCAGAUAACUUGAGGUCAGGAGUUUGAGACCAGGCUGGGCAACAUGGUGAGAUCCCCAUCUUUUCUAAAAAUACAAAAAGUAGCCAGGGAUGGUGUCACAUGUCUGUGGUCACAGCUACUUAGGAGGUUGAGGCAGGAGAAUCUCUUGAACCCAGGAAGUGGAGGUUGCAGUGAGCUGAGAUCGUGCCACUGCACUCUAGCCUGGGUGACAGAGUGAGUCUCUGCCUCAAAAAAAAGUUAAUAUAUCAUAUAGUUUGGAUAUUUGUCCCCUGUAAAUCUCAUGUUGAAAUCUGAUCUCCAAUGUUGGAGGUGGGGCCUAGUGGAAGGUGUCUGGGGUCAUAGGGGUGGCUCUCUCAAGAACAGUUUGGUGCCAUCUCCAUGGUAAUGAGUUAGUUCUCACCCUAUUAGUUUUUGCAGGAGCUGGGUGUUUAAAAGAAUGUGGGACCCCUUCCCUGUCUUUCUUCCUCCCUCUCUUACCUUGUGAUACCUGUUCUCCUCCCCCUCACCAUGACUGGAAGCUUCCUGAGGUCCUGACAAGAAGCAGAUGCUGGUGUCAUGCUUCCUGUACAGCCUGCAGAAUCGUGAGCCAAAUAAACCUUUUUUCUUGCUUUAUUUUAUUUUAUUUAUUUAUUUUUAAUUGCAUUUUAGGUUUUGGGGUACAUGUGCAGAACAUGCAAGACAUUUGCAUAGAGAAACACCAGGAAAUGUGCAGCCACCUUGCAACUGUGAGAAGAGGUGCUGAUCCCAGAAAUGACAGAGCUGAGCCAGGAAAGACCUAACUCCUUGGGGGCAGCUUUGAGUUGUUUCCCACACCACUUCUGGGCUUCUAACCUCUGGACUUAAUAUGAGAGACUGACUUUACUAUUUUCUUAAGCUAGGUGGAAUCACAGUUUCUGAAACUUGUGUAGCCAACUGGUAUAGGAUUUCUAGGAAGACUUAAUUAGUUUACAUUUGUAAAAUGCCUAGAAUGAUGCUUAGUACAUAGUAAGCACUACAUCAAUGUCUGUUGAAUAAAUAAAUAAUACAGGUUGGUUUUUUACCUUUC